rnacentral:rRNA from 1 species
UACAGGGGGGCAAGCGUUGUUCGGAAUUACUGGGCGUAAAGGGCGCGUAGGCGGCCAUCUAAGUCAGACGUGAAAUCCCUCGGCUCAACCGAGGAACUGCGUCUGAUACUGGAAGGCUUGAAUCCGGGAGAGGGAUGUGGAAUUCCAGGUGUAGCGGUGAAAUGCGUAGAUAUCUGGAGGAACACCGGUGGCGAAGGCGGCAUCCUGGACCGGUAUUGACGCUGAGGCGGCGAAAGCUAGGGGAGCAAAC